GAUAAACUGUAUGGGGCUUGAUACUUCACCAAAUUGGAUCUCCGUUCCUAUUAUCAUCGAAUUUGAAUGGAUGAUGUAGAUGUGGAGAAAAUAGCUUUCCGGACUCGUCAUGGCCAUUUCGAGAUUUUGGUGAUGCCAUUCAGUCCCACUAACGCUCCAUCUACCUUCCAGGCACUUAUGAAUGCAAUUUUCAAACCUCAUCUACAUAAG
rnacentral:misc_RNA from 1 species